rnacentral:lncRNA from 1 species
ACCAAACUCUCUCUCUCGCGAAUCCCUGAGGACUUGUUCGGUUAAUCCACAUCAUAAAGGGAUUGAAGAGGAUUGAAGGGGUUUGAAAUGGAUUUUGACUUGUUGGGAAUUUAAUCCCUUCCAAUCCCCUUCAAACCUCUUGAAAUUCUAUGAAACCGAAUAAGGCCUCAAGAAUAAGGCCUCAAGAAUAAAUAUCACUCACUAAUCUCACCCCCUCACAUGACGAUCUCCUCACCGACGC